CUUGUUUAAGGAUCCUCGAUUUCGCCCUAAUAUUUCUGUGAACAUCUCUCUAGGGUGAUUCACAGAAGUGUUUGGGGGGACUCUGGGAAUCAUUGAACUCAG
rnacentral:pre_miRNA from 1 species